GACGAACGCUGGCGGCGUGCUUAACACAUGCAAGUCGAACGGAAAGGCCCUGCUUUUGUGGGGUGCUCGAGUGGCGAACGGGUGAGUAACACGUGAGUAACCUGCCCUUGACUUUGGGAUAACUUCAGGAAACUGGGGCUAAUACCGGAUAGGAGCUCCUGCUGCAUGGUGGGGGUUGGAAAGUUUCGGCGGUUGGGGAUGGACUCGCGGCUUAUCAGCUUGUUGGUGGGGUAGUGGCUUACCAAGGCUUUGACGGGUAGCCGGCCUGAGAGGGUGACCGGCCACAUUGGGACUGAGAUACGGCCCAGACUCCUACGGGAGGCAGCAGUGGGGAAUAUUGCACAAUGGGCGGAAGCCUGAUGCAGCAACGCCGCGGGCGGGAUGACGGCCUUCGGGUUGUAAACCGCUUUCGCCUGUGACGAAGCGUGAGUGACGGUAAUGGGUAAAGAAGCACCGGCUAACUAC
rnacentral:rRNA from 1 species